rnacentral:rRNA from 1 species
CUGAAUAUGGGGGGACCAUCCUCCAAGGCUAAAUACUCCUGACUGACCGAUAGUGAACCAGUACCGUGAGGGAAAGGCGAAAAGAACCCCGGCGAGGGGAGUGAAAAAGAACCUGAAACCGUGUACGUACAAGCAGUGGGAGCACAGGUUUACCUGUGUGACUGCGUACCUUUUGUAUAAUGGGUCAGCGACUUAUAUUCUGUAGCAAGGUUAACCGAAUAGGGGAGCCGGAGGGAAACCGAGUCUUAAUUGGGCGUUAAGUUGCAGGGUAUAGACCCGAAACCCGGUGAUCUAGCCAUGGGCAGGUUGAAGGUUGGGUAACACUAACUGGAGGACCGAACCGACUAAUGUUGAAAAAUUAGCGGAUGACCUGUGGCUGGGGGUGAAAGGCCAAUCAAACCGGGAGAUAGCUGGUUCUCCCCGAAAGCUAUUUAGGUAGCGCCUCGUGAAUUCAUCUCCGGGGGUAGAGCACUGUUUCGGCUAGGGGGCCAUCCCGGCUUACCAACCCGAUGCAAACUGCGAAUACCGGAGAAUGUUAUCACGGGAGACACACGGCGGGUGCUAACGUCCGUCGUGAAGAGGGAAACAACCCAGACCGCCAGCUAAGGUCCCAAAGUCAUGGUUAAGUGGGAAACGAUGUGGGAAGGCCCAGACAGCCAGGAUGUUGGCUUAGAAGCAGCCAUCAUUUAAAGAAAGCGUAAUAGCUCACUGGUCGAGUCGGCCUGCGCGGAAGAUGUAACGGGGCUAAACCAU